rnacentral:ribozyme from 1 species
UGUAACAACUGCACUGACAUGGGUAUGGAUUUGAAGCCUCUCGAAGGAUCACAUAGUCUCUUCAUACCCUACUCUUGCUCAAUACUGCCACGGCAUACAGAACGAAAAUAUGCCUCUCCAAACAUUAGUACUGGGGUAUACGGGUUAACCCAACGGCUGUGGGAGUAUGGGUGAUACAUAAGCCCUCCGACGA